rnacentral:rRNA from 1 species
UACGGAGGGUGCGAGCGUUGUCCGGAAUUAUUGGGCGUAAAGAGCGUGUAGGCGGCCAUGUAGGUCCGUUGUGAAAACUCGAGGCUCAACCUCGAGACGCCGAUGGAAACCAUGUGGCUAGAGUCCGGAAGAGGAGAGUGGAAUUCCUGGUGUAGCGGUGAAAUGCGCAGAUAUCAGGAAGAACACCCGUGGCUAAGGCGGCUCUCUAGUACGGUACUGACGCUGAGACGCGAAAGCGUGGGUAGCAAACAGG